rnacentral:rRNA from 1 species
UGGGGAAUUUUGGACAAUUGGGCGAAAGCCUGAUCCAGCAAUGCCGCGUGUGUGAAGAAGGCCUUCGGGUUGUAAAGCACUUUUGUCCGGAAAGAAAUCCUUGGCUCUAAUACAGUCGGGGGAUGACGGUACCGGAAGAAUAAGCACCGGCUAACUACGUGCCAGCAGCCGCGGUAAUACGUAGGGUGCAAGCGUUAAUCGGAAUUACUGGGCGUAAAGCGUGCGCAGGCGGUUUGCUAAGACCGAUGUGAAAUCCCCGGGCUCAACCUGGGAACUGCAUUGGUGACUGGCAGGCUAGAGUAUGGCAGAGGGGGGUAGAAUUCCACGUGUAGCAGUGAAAUGCGUAGAGAUGUGGAGGAAUACCGAUGGCGAAGGCAGCCCCCUGGGCCAAUACUGACGCUCAUGCACGAAAGCGUGGGGAGCAAACAGGAUUAGAUACCCUGGUAGUCCACGCCCUAAACGAUGUCAACUAGUUGUUGGGGAUUCAUUUCCUUAGUAACGUAGCUAACGCGUGAAGUUGACCGCCUGGGGAGUACGGUCGCAAGAUUAAAACUCAAAGGAAUUGACGGGGUC